rnacentral:snoRNA from 1 species
UUGGCCCUGAAUCAAGGCCAGCAGUUUGCUGAAGCUGUUGGUUUCAUAUAUACAGGAGCCUAAAGAAUUAUCUUUCUCUGGUCUGUUGGCCAUUUCAGAACUUUGGAAAUGUAAUGGUCAAUUCAUUAGAAAGAAACAUCG